CGCACAUUGCGCCCUUUGGUAUUCCGAAGGGCAUGCCUGUUCGAGCGUCAUUACAACUCUCAAGCAUAGCUUGGUCUUGAGUCUCACUUCGAGAGAGGUGGACUCGAAAAACAGUGGAUGUCGUACGUGACUUUGAGUGUAGUAAAUUUCUCCCACUCUGAAGCUCAUCUACAACUCCCAAAAUCUUCCUUUGAAAAUUGACCUCGAAUCAGGUAGGGAUACCCGCUGAACUUAA
rnacentral:misc_RNA from 1 species